rnacentral:rRNA from 1 species
AUUGAACGCUGGCGGCAUGCCUUACACAUGCAAGUCGAACGGCAGCACGGGAGCAAUCCUGGUGGCGAGUGGCGAACGGGUGAGUAAAGUAUCGGAACGUGCCCAGUCGUGGGGGAUAACGUAGCGAAAGUUACGCUAAUACCGCAUACGAUCUAUGGAUGAAAGCGGGGGAUCGCAAGACCUCGCGCGAUUGGAGCGGCCGAUAUCAGAUUAGGUAGUUGGUGGGGUAAAGGCUCACCAAGCCGACGAUCUGUAGCUGGUCUGAGAGGACGACCAGCCACACUGGGACUGAGCCACGGCCCAGACUCCUACGGGAGGCAGCAGUGGGGAAUUUUGGACAAUGGGCGAAAGCCUGAUCCAGCCAUGCCGCGUGCAGGAUGAAGGCCUUCGGGUUGUAAACUGCUUUCGUACGGAACGAAAAGGUUUGGCCUAAUAAGCUGAGCUCAUGGCGGUACCGUAAGAAUAAGCACCGGCUAACUACGUGCCAGCCGCCGCCGUAA